rnacentral:rRNA from 1 species
GAUGAACGCUGGCGGCGUGCUUAACACAUGCAAGUCGAACGAAGCAUUUAGGACAGAUUACUUCGGUUUGAAGUUCUUUAUGACUGAGUGGCGGACGGGUGAGUAACGCGUGGGUAACCUGCCUUGUACUGGGGGAUAGCAGCUGGAAACGGCUGGUAAUACCGCAUAAGCGCACAAUGUUGCAUGACAUGGUGUGAAAAACUCCGGUGGUAUAAGAUGGACCCGCGUCUGAUUAGCUAGUUGGUGAGAUAACAGCCCACCAAGGCGACGAUCAGUAGCCGACCUGAGAGGGUGACCGGCCACAUUGGGACUGAGACACGGCCCAGACUCCUACGGGAGGGAGCAGUGGGGAAUAUUGCACAAUGGAGGAAACUCUGAUGCAGCGACGCCGCGUGAGUGAAGAAGUAAUUCGUUAUGUAAAGCUCUAUCAGCAGGGAAGAUAGUGACGGUACCUGACUAAGAAGCUCCGGCUAAAUACGUG